rnacentral:pre_miRNA from 1 species
GGGGCGAGCAACUGUAAACAUCCUCGACUGAAAGCUGUGCUCCGCUGCUGUGAAAGGGCUUUCAGUCAGAUGUUUGCGUUUGCCGCGUG